UGUGGUGAUGAUGGUGAAGAGGAUACACCUGUAACCAUGCCGAACACAGAAGUUAAGCUUUUCAACGCCGAAAGUAGUUGGUGGGAAACUACCUGCGAGGAUAGG
rfam:Lactobacillus mellifer strain Bin4 genomic scaffold Bin4_scaffold8, whole genome shotgun sequence.